CUCUGAAAGUAUCCAGUAAAUUGUAGUUCAUCUUGACUGAUAUGCAAUUACAAUAAUGCAGAGAAAUUACUGUUCUAAAAAUUCAGUUUUCAUACACAGAUGCUCAAAUAUUCAGGCAUCCAUACCAAUUUUAAACAUAAAGUCUGGAAUUAAACACAGUCCAACUAUGAAGCAUGGACUCCAGAGUAGGCUGGUUUAUGAACCCAAGGAUGUAAUUCAUACAAUGCUGCUUUCCAUAAGAGUAUGCCUUUCCACUGGAGAAUAUGGAAAUGCU